rnacentral:lncRNA from 1 species
CCCGACCUAAAAUAACCUAACCCGGCCCAAGACAACUUUAACCUGACUGAACCAGCCCCCUAAUCCUCCUUCCUCAACUUUUCAUCGUCAAAACCCAACCAAACUGGACCUCUUCCAUCGCCAAAACAACAACAUUCAACGUCAUUCUUUCCUCUUUUCUCUCUGCCAACGAUGGCAGCCUAUGAACCACCGGAAAUUGAUAUUUUCCUUUGAGUUUCCACCUCUCCCCAUUACUUUUUCACUUCUCCAUCAAUCAAGCCGCCCACUGUCACCUCACCCGUCUCUUUUUCUCAAAUCAUCCCUCCCCCACUAAUGUUCAUGGGGAAGUAAAGAAUUCGAAGGACGCUCGGAUUUGGGUUUAAUUCGAUGGAUCCGAACGCUUUACCUUCGAGUUGUCUCGUCUCCCCUUCAAAUCGGCUUGAAAAAGUAAGCCAUCCAUUUUUCUUUCUCUAAUUUCAUCAUUAUUUCUCAAAAAAGUAGUUUCCCAAGAAUUCAAAUUUUUCACUUUUGAAGCUUCCAUCAGAGCCGUUUGAACCUUCUUUCAGCUAUAAAAGGGAAGCUUUGGAAUCCCUUUGAGAGAAAUAUAUAGACAAAAGCAAACACUAGAACAUUUCAAUAGCUUCCUCACUUGCUCUUUAUUUCUUUCUUUAAUUCAUUUUCUUUUCCGGUUCUUCUCGAAGCCCUUGGAGUUUAUAUCGAAGUCAAAAUCGCUAGUGUAGAACUGGACACUCGACGGGCUCAAUCGCUGCCCAACAAAAGAUACAAAUUCGUCCCUUUCAUUUCACUUUCAUUCUCUUCUUUCAUCUCAUUUUUGGAUGGGAGUAUGUGAUUUUGUUCUAAUCCUAGAUUUUGUUGUUGUUUUCGUGAUAGAAUAUAAUUCUGAUUUUGGUGAAGUUAUCUUGGGUCUGAAAAUCUGUUUCAUGAAUAUAUGGGCCUUUAAAUACAUGAACAUAGUACUUAUAUAGGAUUCAAGUUUAUAUUGAUAUUGUUAUCCCCAUUUUGAAUUUAUAGACUUGAUUUCGUCCCAAAUUCCCAUUUUCACAAUUAUUUUGUGGUCAAAUUCUGCAAGAUAUGUGAAAAUCUCUUCUUACUCGGCCUUUGUCUCCCUUGUUUCAUUUUGUCUAUUCAUGUAUAGAUUUGUGUACAUGUAAUUUAUUUCCGUUUAAAUGUAUGUUGACGUUGUUUUUUUUAUCUUCAUUUGUUCAAUAGCUGUCAUGUGUUUUCUUUACACCUUUACGAGUAUGUUGCUAAGUAUUCCCUAUUGUUGGAUAAAUUGAAAAUGGUAUAUUUAGUUUUGGGCUUGGUUUGGGUUGUGUUUUGGUUUAGUGCCUCGAUUUCAAAUAGUUCUUGUUCACAUUUUCGUUCCGAGUUUGAGACAUGAUUUUCAUAAUCUCUCUGGUCAUGAAAAGUUAGUGGAUCUAUGUUGAAUUUUGCCAAAGUGUGUAUAGUUGACUUCUCUUAAAAAAUAAAAAGAAGAUUCAUGGAGAUUUUGCGUCUUUGGCUUCGAAUUUAUAUUUGCAUCAUAAGGUGAAUAUUCUUUUACCUUUAUGGAAAGUGUGUUUAUAUUUUCUUGAAUUUGAGUUUAGACGGAAAAAAAAAGAGGGACUUCAACGUGUCUAUUGCUAAUUUUUUUUUCUUUUUUUAAAUGGCCUAUCUAAGAUGAAUAGGCUCAAAUGUUUUAUCACUGUGGGUGUCUUGACAAUUGCUUAUGUUAAUCAUAUUUCCUAAGCUUUCCCCGUUAAAGUAUGUAAACAAUUUAGAGUGAAUAGACAUUUCGUUCUCCUCUUUUGGAAUACCCAUCUUGCUUUAAAAAAGCAUGUCUUUUGAAUCAUACGUCUCUCUUAAUCUUUACAUUUUUAUGCAUUUUUAGUUAAUUAGUUUUCUAAUCCUUAUUUUUCUUAUUUUACAUGUAAAUUCGGAAGUUUGAGUUUCAAUCGAAACUCCAUUUUGAUUCAAACAUCGGAUCAACCGCCACUAGAAUCGCGGAGCUUCUAAGUACCGUAGAUUAGAAACUCAACUCCGUUAGGAGUCUAGUAUCUAUUCUCUUUUUUAAUUAUUCACGUUCUGUUGCUAGUCCUUUGAAAUAGUAUUUAAUUAUUAUUAGUUAUUUGGAUUUCAUAUUUUUGUUAUUUGUGUUUAUAGUGCUUGAUUAUUUGCGAAUUUUCUAUAAAGUAGAUAAACGUUCUCACACUUUCGCAAUUAACGUGCGACUAGUUGACUCAUAAAAAUGGAUUUCUCUCUUAAAAAGAUGAGCUUAGCAACUUAGAUAUUCGGCUGAUGUUCAAAAAAACUAUUUAUUGGCCUAAAAAUACUUUCUUUAAUAAAAUGAAUGUCGUGACCUGAAUAUUUUUCCUAAAAACCAAAAAAAAAUGAGAGUUCAAUAUUAUUGCGAGAGAGCAUGGAAUAAAAUUCAAUUUUUUUUUUUUUCAGAAAGGAAGGCCUAUCCACCAACUUCGGCUUAUUUCAAUAAAUAAUUUCAACGUUUUCACUUUAUUUUUAUUCAUUUUCUCAAUAAUAGUUUCAAUUUUUCAACUUUAAGACUCAAAGGACACUCAAGGUGUAUACAUAUAUACUCUACAGUAUAAGAGAUAUUUUGUCACUAUUUAUUAUUAUUAUUAUUAUUAUUAUUAUUAUUAUUAUUAUUAUUAUUAUUAUUAUUAUUAUUUACACUUUAUUUCAAUAUCAUAUUUGUGUAUGAGUAUUUCUACUAUUACAUUUACUUUUAACUACUACUAAAAAUUUUACAAAUAAAUAAACACUAGCAUUAUUUCUUAUAUUUUAAAUAUACUCAAGUCUAGUUUUACUCAAGAAUUAAUAUGUUAAUGCGAUUUGACAUUUUUAUAUAUCUGUACUUUGCAACAAAUGCAUUUGAAUACUUUUACUCUUGAAAACUAAAUAAUUUUUCAUAUUUUUUUAGACAUACUUAUUAAUGUUUAUAAUAAAUAAAGUUUCAGAUGCUUUUAAAAGUUACAUUAACCUUCUUUACAUUCAUGUAAAACUAUAAGCCUUUAAAUUUUAUAUAACAUACAUAUUAUAACAAAAAUACUAAUGUCAACUUUACUCUUCGUUUUUAUAUUUUUUUUGAAACAUGCAUAUAUAUUUUGUAAUAAACUAUAUAACAUGUUUUCAUAUAUCAUAAGCAUAUAUUUAUAUAUCUUGUGUGCGUUCUUUUAGUUUAGAUCUAAUAAAUUCUUUGUAGCUAUCACUUUUUUUUGUAAAUAUUUUUUCAAAUAUUUUAUUUAAAACUAAGUUGAAGAACUAUCUUCGGAUAGGCUCUGAUGGGUUCUUAACCUUUUUUUUUGAGCAAGCAAAACCCUUACUCUGAAUCUCAAAUGUUUUUAAAAGACCAAAAACAGAUUUUUAAGUCAUAAAGAUAAUUUUUCUAUUUUUUUUCUAAAAUUUAUGUGGUGACUCUUGAAAAUAUUUUUUUUUUAAAAAUCAGAUAAAGUCUUAACGAUCAUAUGUUGUGUACUGUUUUGAUCUGUUCAAAACAAGGCGUGAUAUCGUGGCGACUCUGUUGGGGAUGUAACUUAGGUCUAUAUCUUAUCGGACUUAGUUUAGGAAUAUUAUUUGGAAUAUUUAUUUAUUUUCAGUACAUUCUGAUAGAGAAUCAGCCUAAGAGAGAUGAAAACUACCUAAAGAAGCAAAACACAAAUAAUGCAAGAAAGUAAAGAUAGGCAAAUUGACAUAAGAAGUUACAAAGAAUUAAGAACCAACGAGUGUAUCAAACUCAAAGAUCCUUAAACAAGUAGAAUCGAUCACCAAUUUCUUACGUAAACAUCAAGGAAAUUGAGUUCCCAAGCAAUUCACAUUUCUAAACAAAAGGGAUCAACACAAGUUAAUCCAAGCUUGCAAUUCAUUCAUAAGAGUAUUCUUUCAAAUAUCAUCAAAGUUACAAAUGAAAUGACUAAGGCAUAUAUUUAUAGUUAUUGUCUUUGCAUAAUAUUACAAAAAUAGCUUAUAAGUGGCUAUUUUGGAGAUAACCUACCUGGGCUCUUCAAAGCAUGCUCCACAUGCGAUCUUGUAGGCUUAGGAGCCUAAAAAGGGGUCCACCGAAUGCACUCUUGAGCUCUUAGUUUGAUCGUGGAUUGGACCUCUUUGUAUUGGCCUCGAAAGAUGUAGUCUAAUGCUUUAAGGCCGAUCCGGACCGUAUCAUUCUCUCAUUUUUGAAAAGAAUUCAUCCUCGAAUCCAAACCUUGUAAAACCAAAAGAAGCCAAGUAUGCACACACUUCACAUAUAACCAAACAUAGCAUUAUGCCAAGGUUGCACACACUUCACAUAUAACCAAACAUAGCAUUAUGCCAAGGUUGCACACACUUCACAUAUAACCAAACAUCCUUCAAGAUAUUGGAAGAAAAGUCAACAUUCAAAGUGCAAAGGAGUUGGCUACGAAAAACAUCAAGAAAUUCUCCUUAGUCCCAUUAACAACAUUACAAAGCAAAUUAUCACACAUUGGAACAACUAAGGGUAGAAGCAAGGAGUCUUUAGGGAGUAGAUUACCUUUCCAAUCACAAGAAACCAUGUUUUCACUUACGUGCCGCACAUCCCGUUUACUUGAAUAACCUUCCAAGAAGGAAUCAACUUUUCUAUCCACAUAAUGUGACAAAAAACAAAGAACAAGAGUUGUUUAUCAAGUGGAAACCAUACUUUUCUUGGAACAACAAAUAGACUUGCCACCUAAAAUAGGGAGGCCAUAUAUUUUAUGAAUACUCAAGUCAUUCCAAAAGACGUUAAUACCAUCUAGGUAGGAUUUUAAAUCAAAUGUCUUUAUUGCAUUGUCUACUCUAGGGUAAAUGCCAUUAUGAUUUCAAGGAAAGCUAAAAAUAUGAGAGGGUAGGUACAUACCUUUGGAGCAAAGACUUGUGCUUGCCCUCUUGCUUUCUAAACUUGCACCAUGGGAACUCAUCCUCUUAUGCAUCAACUUGAAAGUUGGCACAAGGCCAGUGCCAAAUGUAGUGAAUAACAAGUGCUUGGUUUUGGCACCAAGUUCUCCCUUUUGAUCCUAAAGCUUCCCAUCUUUAUCAUUCAUAUCCUUCCUCAUCAUGAGGUUAAAAUUCAAGACAUCUCUUUCUUCAGGCCAAACAUCUUCAUUGGGAGAUUUCAUCAUCAAUCCACAAGGUACAAAAAAGUUUCCUUCUGCCUCCACUAAUUCCUCUUCACCGUCAAUGUCAUCACUCUCUUGAGGGAUUUCCUCACCAUUAUCUUUUCGGGUUACUUUAUCCCCAACAAAGUAAGGAUCACCUUCCACCAAUACAAUGUUUUUUUGGUUGGGGCAUUCACUAGCCUUGUGAUCCCAACCUUGAUAUUUAAAGCAAGUAAUACCUUUAGAAUUGGGAUUAAUAGAUGGAUUACCUUCAUUCCUUGGUGGAUACCUUUGGAUUGCCUUAUCAAUAGGCUUUUUUAUAAGGACUUGUUAAAAUUCUUGUACUUGUUCCAUCUGAAGAAAGUUGAAGAAUUGUAACCUUUAUGAAGGACUUCUUGGCAUUGUUGUUUCUUUCAACCUCAAUGGAUGCUUCAACAAGAUCUUUUAUUCGGUCAAACUUGUGGACAACUAGUUAAGAAAAAACUUCAUAAUCUAAACCACCUUUGAACUGAGCCAUGCAAUGAAUUGGGGGUUCGACAAUCUCAAGACGAAGGAUCAAAUUUAGAAACUCCUCAUAAUAGUCUUCCACACCUCUAUCUCCUUUUCUCAAAUUGUAGAUCCUUGUUAGUUUCUCUUAUUUGAACCAUUACAUAACAUACCUCUCCUUCAUAAGUGCCUUCAAUUCAUCCCAAUUCGGAAGGUUGGUAUUAACAUUUCUUUCUCUUUGCACUCUCCAAGUAGAAGCAUACCCUUCAAAUUGAGCAAUUAUAUGGGUGGCUUUCUUGUGAUCGAUUAACUCAUUUAGUUAGAAGAUCCUAUUACGUUGUAUUUCCCAAUCAAGGUAGAUAACUGGAUCACUAGUUUCUUUGAAGGUAGGAAGAGUGAUCUUGAUGGAGUUGAGACCCGUGUUUCUACCCAUAUUUUAUCCUUGAUCCCAUUGAUGAUCUUCUUGAAAUUGAGGACGGUGUCUUGAAUUUUCUCUUCCAUAUAAAAUCAGACCAAACCUUCCUUUUCGACCUCUAUGUCCUCCUUCUUGAGCUUCUCUUCUAUUUUGUAUAAAUACCAUAAAGAGAGCUACUCAUUUAACUCUUUAUUUUCUCUGUAAGGUUCCUCACCUUUCACAUCAUCAAUUUAGAUUGGUUAGUUAAAUUUAAGUGGAGUUUAGCAGUCUUUGGGGUAUCUGGGUGUGUGGCUCUUGAUUUUGUAGAUCUUCUUAGUGGAUUUGGUUGAAUUGGGGUUGUAGUGGAUGAAUAGGUUUCAGUUGUUUGGAUAAGUAGUGGCUUGGAUGAUGGGUUCAUGUACUUGUCUAGGUGGAUUAGACAUUUAGUGAAGUGUUUUCGGAGUUAUAGUAGUGGAGGUGUUGGGAGCAUGACCAUUAGAGAAAGCAUGAUGGUUUUGAGGAGUAGAUGUAGUAGAGUUUAGACGGAUUUUAAAGGAGUCCAUCCUUCUUGAGAAAGAGUCUUCCAUCCCUUCCAUAUACUUUCAAAAGAUCUCAUUCGGCUAUUCAUAGCAUCAAGCUUCUCCAAGAUGGAAGCUAACAUAAUAUUUGUAGUGUUACUAUCCAUGGUGUGUGAUGUCUCACCUUCUUGAGCCAUUGCACCUAUUAUGAAAUUCUAAACAAAAAUAAAAACAACAAACAAGUUAAAGGUUAGGAAAUCAACCUCACAAGCCCUCAAAGUUCAGACCUUUGGUUGUCACUUAAUUGGCGUCGCAAAUGUUGAUAGCUUAUUUGUACUACAAUGAGAUGACUUGGUACCAAUUAUGGCUUGAGGUCGGAAUGGAUUCUUGUUUGAAAGACUCAAAUAAAAAAAUUAUGUACGGACUAGAAUCAAGAAGUUGCGAUGAAUUAAAAAUGAGAAAAUCAUACAAAGAAAGAAGACAUGAAAUAAAAUGGAUUCAACAACUAAUUCACAACUAAGUAGGUUAUUACUAGUUGUUAAUUAGCAAUAAAAUCAUGAAGGAAACCAAAGAAUCAAAGAAAAGAAACUUAGAAUCUAAAUUUGAGCUUAAGGCAAAUUUGAUGGUUGAGUGACUGGCAGUUUCUAAAUGGUUGGUUGGCGUUUGGGAAUUUUCUUGUUUCCAAUUUGAAUUUCAAUCAAUCUUCAUCUUGGAGGUGUGGUAAUCGGCUUUGGAUGAAUAAAAUGCAAAGAAUUGGGCCCUUUAAUUAUUCUUCAAGCUUAAAAGAUUUUGAAUUUUCUUGUGGUCCCCUCCUUGUACUUUCCCGUGUUCUUUUUUUUGAGAAUAUUUCCUUUUGAUGCUUUUGGACUCUUUAUUUCCAAUUUCUUUCUUUGGAAGACUUGGAAUAUUCUUUGGACAAACAAGUAUCACACUCUCUCUCACCUCCUUUUUGGAUGAAACAAUUACUUUUUAAAUGUUCUUCGAUUAUGAUGAACAUCAAGAACAUUCAAAGUUGAUCCUUAAGAAAAUGACCUCAGAAGUUGAUGAUUUUUUAUUUUUCAAGCACACGUUGAACUUCCAAACAUCAAUCAACACGUUUUCAAGUCCAAAGUUUCAAUCGGAAUGGAUUCUUGUUUGAAAGACUCAAAUAAAAAAAUUAUGUACGGACUAGAAUCAAGAAGUUGCGAUGAAUUAAAAAUGAGAAAAUCAUACAAAGAAAGAAGACAUGAAAUAAAAUGGAUUCAACAACUAAUUCACAACUAAGUAGGUUAUUACUAGUUGUUAAUUAGCAAUAAAAUCAUGAAGGAAACCAAAGAAUCAAAGAAAAGAAACUUAGAAUCUAAAUUUGAGCUUAAGGCAAAUUUGAUGGUUGAGUGACUGGCAGUUUCUAAAUGGUUGGUUGGCGUUUGGGAAUUUUCUUGUUUCCAAUUUGAAUUUCAAUCAAUCUUCAUCUUGGAGGUGUGGUAAUCGGCUUUGGAUGAAUAAAAUGCAAAGAAUUGGGCCCUUUAAUUAUUCUUCAAGCUUAAAAGAUUUUGAAUUUUCUUGUGGUCCCCUCCUUGUACUUUCCCGUGUUCUUUUUUUUGAGAAUAUUUCCUUUUGAUGCUUUUGGACUCUUUAUUUCCAAUUUCUUUCUUUGGAAGACUUGGAAUAUUCUUUGGACAAACAAGUAUCACACUCUCUCUCACCUCCUUUUUGGAUGAAACAAUUACUUUUUAAAUGUUCUUCGAUUAUGAUGAACAUCAAGAACAUUCAAAGUUGAUCCUUAAGAAAAUGACCUCAGAAGUUGAUGAUUUUUUAUUUUUCAAGCACACGUUGAACUUCCAAACAUCAAUCAACACGUUUUCAAGUCCAAAGUUUCAACAACAACCUUCCAAAUUUGAGAUCCCACCUUCAAGUUUCUUCAACUCAAGCUCAACAAUGAUGGAUGACUCAAAACAACCUGGAAUAAGCUCAAAUUUGAGAUCUAGACUUUAUUAGUGUUAGGAAACAAGGAUCUAACACUAGAAACUAAAAAAAGAAACAAAAAAUUCCAAGACCUAAGUCUCGGCCUAGGGGUAAAAUUGAAAACAAAAUUUCUUUUUAUGAUUUUUGAUUUUUUUACACUCUUUUUUUGUUGAUUUUCUAGAUAACAACCCAAGAUUGAUUUCGUAGGAACAAAAUCAAAUCUUACUCUUGAUACCUAAUGAUGGAGAAUCAACCUAAGAGAGAUGAAAACUACCUAAAGAAGCAAAACACAAAUAAUGCAAGAAAGUAAAGAUAGGCAAAUUGACAUAAGAAACUACAAACAAUUAAGAGCCAAGGAGUGUAUCAAACUCACAGACCCUUAAACGAGUAUAAUCAAACACUAAUUUCUUACGUAGACCUCAAGGGAAUCAUGUGACACCCCGUACGUUGCAUGUACUUUUUUUAUUUAUAUGUAACUUGGUAUAGCCUUAUGGUAGGUAAUGGAUGAGAUUUGUCAUGCAAAUAUUAAUGGUGUAGAUGGAAUUCUAGACGUUUACCGUACCAUUUUAUGAGAUGCGAUCAAGUUAACAUCGAUACACCUAUUUAACUUGGAAUUGUAAGUCGGUAUUUAAAUCUAAAGUUUAAAGUGACCAGGUGUGUACAAGUUGUAAGUUAGAUUAAGGUGAUUAGGAGCUGGAAAUGGGAUGAAAUAUUGAGGUACUUUCUUGACUUAAUUAAGCUAGUAGGUGAGUCACCUACUUGGGUUAUAUGAGCCAAGUUAAUGGACCAAGUCCAUGAAUCAUAUUUGGGCCUUUAUUAGUAUACUUAUUUGGGCACAAAUUAAGUAAAAGAAGAAGAAAAAUGGAGAAAAAGUCCAAUGCUCAAAUCUGCCAAGGCCCAAAUAUAAUUGAGCCGAACUAAGAAAUUAAGAAAGUAGGUGCAUCACAUACUUUGACAUUUUGAGCUGCUUGAACUCCUUAAGUAGGUGCAUCACCUACUUGGACCAAUUUGAUUAAAUUUGUGGUCCAAAAUCAGCUAAGUGGAUGGCCAAAAUUAGGGACUUUAUAAGGCCACAUUGCUGGCCAUUUUCCCUCAUUCUUAAGUCACAAAAAAGGGUUACUUCACAAAUUCUCUCUACUUUCUUUUAAACAACAAAGAGUAGCCCUAUUUUUCUUUCUAGGAUUCUUAAAGAAGCCCCAACCUUUACAAGCCAAGAUAAGUGAAAAAACUUAUGGUUUAUCUUAAUUAUCUCAAGGAAUAUUAGGAAAACAUAAUAUCAGUGAUUAAUUAUUGAUUCAUUGUAAAAUAUGGAACAAGCUACUUGUUCACUUUUUCUUUGUUAUUACGAGAUUUCCUUUCUUCUUUGGUUUAAAGUGUGAAGGAAAGUGAAAGUUGAAGUUCUUGAGGAGUUCAAAUUAAAAGAAUAAGUUGCAGAAUUAAGGUAAGGUGACUUCCCAUUUUGUUUUCCUUAUGUAUGAAUUUAAGAAAGAAUUAUGGAUGUGUUGUUAUUGAGAACUCAAGGGAUGAUGGGUUCAAUAAUUGAUUGCUACAAUAAAAGGAAUUUGGGUCUGUUUUGUGGAUUGUUUUGUAUGUAUAUGUUAUGGGAUGCCAGGUUGAUGUUGGAGAAAGGUGUGACUAGUUUGAAUUAAAAUAUAGAAGAAAGGUGUGGUGGUACACCACCGAACUAAUUAUUGCAUGUAUUUAUUGCCCAAUCUAUUUUGCAUAUUGUUUGGAGGGUGUAAUGAAGCUGAGGCAAUUUUGGAGAAUCUAAUAAGAACAUAUAUGGUAUGCUGGUGUAAUUGGAGGAGAAAAGGGUUAAAAUAACACCCUUGAUUGUUAGAUUAAGUGCUUACCGCCCGAUUACUGUUUUAGUGAAGUUAAGUAGCCCAAAUUUUUUGAUUGGUUGCUAAUACUAGUUUACCAUAUAUUCUAUUGUAGAUAAGUAAUCUAAAAGGCGGGGAAGUCAAGUUGGGUUAGUUUCAGAGUUAUAUAACUGGGUAUGUAAGGCAUACUCUAUUUUACACCCUUUGGCAUGAAAUCGAACAUUUGUUCCAUCAAGUAAGCUUCCAAGGUUAUCCUAUAACAAGUGAUACAUAAUAGCAGCACAUUACAUUCUAUGUAGCCAAUGACCUUAUUCCCACUCUCUAAUGUGUUAAAACACCUCAAUACAUGCUUUUUAUUUAACCUGCACAUCUAUUUUCAGUAGAAAAUUUCAGAAGUUCUCUGUUUACUCAAAUAAGACCCAUGUGUAUUUUCAGCUCCUAAACACUUCAUUUGUGUUCCAACAGCUCCCUACCUCAUUGUUGUUGCAUUAAGUUCCCAUUUACAUGUCUCUUAUCACGAGUGGCAGCUCAGGGGCAUAAGCCUAGCAUGGGCCUAUCUCGAUACCUUUAUAUUUAGGUGGAAGAUCAGGGGCAUAAGCCUAGCAUGGGCUGAUCCCAAUGUUCUUAUGUGGGUAGCAGCUCAGGGGCAUAAGCCUAUCCCAAUAUUCUUAUGUGUGUAGCAGCUCAGGGGCGUAAGCCUAGCAUGGGUCGAUCUCAAUUUAUCUAUUUACCACUGAUCAGCUGGUCAUUUGCAUUAUAUGGAUUACAAAGAUUAUGAAGUAACAAAGGUAAAAAAUAAAGAAAAGAAUGUAAUGUACGUUGUCCCAUAAGUAUAUAUUAAGGUGGUCUACUAGUACUACUUAUACACUUGUAUCUAUUUUUUAUUAAGCUAUUGUAUCAUGUGUUGUUACCUUCAGCCUUACAUAUUUAGUACAUAUCUUCAUACUGACGUCACUCACGGGAGACCUGUAUUUGAUGCUGCAGGCACAGAUGCUUCAGCUAAUACGCCUCACUAGUAUGAGCAUAGGAUAUUCAGUGACUAUCGGUGAGCUCCAGGUUGAUUCGGGGCUUUCCCAGUUUGUUCCAUAUAUUUUGGUAUUGUGCAAUAGUCAAGAGUAGGGUGGGGGUUUAUCCCGACCCUAACUGAGUCUAUGUAUCUUUUAGAGGCUUUGUAGACUAAUGUAAAGUUAAACAUGGUAGUGUCUUGUCUUUUAGAUGUGGUGGCCCCAACGGACAAGUGUUAUAUAUAUAUAUAUAAGUUUGUUCUUGCCUACGUAGUUAUUCUCAUUGAUGCAUAAUAUCAUGCUUGUCAGAAACUUUGGUUGUCAUAGUUACAUGCAUGAGAAGUACAAGGUUAUAGAUUUCUCUCGGGCCUUUACGGCUACGGGUGCUUGCCCGCCCCAAUAGGAUUUGAGGCGUGACAAAAAUGGUAUUAGAGCAGGUCGUCCUAGGGAGUCUACAAAUCCAUGUAUACGUAGAGUCUUGCUUUUGGGUGUGUCGUCCACCACAUAUCUAAACAAGACGGUCUGGGCAUUUAGGGGUUGUUUCUUUUUUUCACAUCAUAGAUCAUGCAAUAGAUCCCAAGUUAUAGGUGAAGUCAUAUUUAACCACUAAACCUGUUUCUUUCUUAUUAUAGUAAAGAUGCCGAUUAUAAGAAGGAGUAGAAAUAUAGGUAAGUGAGUAGACGUGGCUGCCGGAGAAGGGAUAAGCAAGUCACUGCUUAGACAAGCUAUUCAAAGUGAGGCUCAAGUUGAGUUUGUGUCACAAACUUCUUUUACUCCUCCAUCUCCAGAAGAACAAAGAAGGAGAAGAACCGCAUCAUCAGAACCACUUAUUAAUUCUACUGACCAAGAUUUAAGGAAUGCAGUAUAAUUGUUGGCUCGUAUAGUUUCUGGGCAAGCUCAAGGAAAAGCAAUUCCAACCACAGGUUCUAGUGGUGCAGAUAUGGCAGCUAGCCUACUGACAUAAGAUUUUCUUAAAUUAGAUCCUCCCACGUUCACCAGAUCAGAUCUUAGUGAUGACCCACAGGACUUUAUUGAUCAAAUCCAAAGGGCUCUAGAUGUCAUGCAUGUAUGGGGUAAGGAGACAGUGGAGCAAACAGUAUAUAGAUUCAAAGGGAAGGCUAUAUUUUGGUAUGAAGACUAGAAACGAUCUACGGGUAUCGAUGCACCUUCAGCUACAUGGAAAGAGUUUAAAGAGGCAUUUCUUGAUCAUUACCUUACGUUUGAGAUUCAACAGUCCCAUGCAGAUCAGUUCCUAAAUCUUUGCCAAGGGAAUAUGAGUGUGAAAGAGUACAACCUCCAGUUUAAAUCUUUGUCUAGGUAUGCUCCUAAUGUAGUAGCUACUAUAGAUGAUAGAGUUCAUCAAUAUGUGGAUAGAUUAGAUCUAUAUUUGGUUAGAGAUUAUACUAUUACUGCUUUGAACAAAGACAUGGACAUAGCAAGGAUAUAGUUUUUGCUAAAAAAAUGGAGGAUCGGAGGCAAAGAAGAACACAAGAAUUGAAAAAAGGGUAUUCUAACAGGGCCAGAACUAUGGGGAAGUUCAUGGAAUCCCAAGGUGAGUUUUGGAAUUGAUUUUCUAAUAGUCCGUCUAGGCCAGUAUCUUCUUAUCCUACAGAUAAUGCUCCACCACAAUUUCAAGGGUCCAAAGGCAACCAGUUUGGGCAAAGAAGUGAGAGUCAGGUUCACAAACAAUGGGGUAUCAAGAGAAAGGGAGUAUGAUCCAAUUAAGGCUUUUUAGUUAGUCAUGUAAACAAUGUGAAAAGCUUCAUUUAUGUGCAUAUCAGUUUGGGACAAAUGCUUGCUUUUGGUGUGGUACGUCGGGGUAUAUCAUUAAAGAAUGCCCACAAAGAGGCAUGGGUGGAAUGGCAUGACCUACUAUAUCAGCCAUUGCAUCAUCAUCAUUGGUGCCUUCUUUAGGUAGAGGUGUACAACCUAUAGGUCGUGGUAGAGGUGCAAAAAGGAGUAGCUAGCUCUAGUAGAGUUCAGAAUCGUACAUAUGCUCUAGCAGAUCGACAAAAUUUAGAGGCUUCUCCAGAUGUGGUUACAGGUACAUUGUCCAUAUUUUUACAUAAUGUAUAUGUAUUAAUUGAUCCGGGUUCUACUUUAUCAUAUAUCACUCCAUUGGUUGCUGGAAAGUUUAAAAGGACACCAGAAUUGCUAGUUAAGCCAUUUGAAGUGUCUAUGCCGGUUGGUGAAUCUAUUAUAGCUAGGGAAGUGUAUCGAAAUUGUAUAAUAACUAUAUGGUCGGGAUACAAUGGAUGACCUGGUUGAGUUAGAAAUGGUAGAUUUUGAUGCUAUAAUAGGUAUGGAUUGGUUGGCUUCUUGUUAUGCCACAGUAGAUUGCCGAACUAAGAAGGUGUAUUUCUAUUUUCCAAGAGAGGUGGCCCUUGAAUGGAGGGAUAAAAUUGGUGCACCAAGAGGUAAAUUUAUUUCAUAUUUUAUGGAUAAAAGUAUGAUUUCUAAGGGUUACAUAUAUCAUCUAGUUAUAGUGAAGGAUACAGAUGCGGAGCCACCAACGCUUCUAGCUAUUCCAGUGGUAAGUGAAUUUCCCGAUAUAUUUCUUGAAGAUCUUCCAGGUUUUCCACCAAAACGAGAAGUGGAGUUCGGUAUUGAUGUAAUUCUAGGUACUCAACUAAUUUUAAUUCCUCUAUAUAGAAUGGCCCUGACAGAAUUACGGGAGUUGAAAGAGAAAUUGAAAGAGUUGCUAGAAAAAGAAUUCAUAAGGCCUAGAAUAUCCCCUUGGGGUGCACCAGUGUUAUUUGUACGUAAGAAAGAUGGCUCUUUGAGAAUGUGUAUUGACUAUCGAUAACUGAAUAAGGUGACUAUUAUGAACAAAUAUCCCCUUUUGAGAAUUGAUGACUUAUUCGACCAGUUGCAAGGGGCCAAGUGUUUUUCAAAGAUUUAUUUGAGGUCAGGUUACCACCAAGUGAGGGUCAAAGAGAAGGAUAUACCAAAGAUAGCUUUUCGAACACGAUACGGUCAUUACGAGUUUCUAGUCAUGUCCUUUGGGCUAACUAAUGCCCCUGAAGCUUUAUGGAGUUGAUGAAUAGGGUGUUUAAGACAUUCUUGGAUGUGUUUGUGAUAGUUUUUAUAGAUGAUAUUUUGGUUUAUUCGAUAUCAAAGGAGGACCAUGCCAGUCACUUACGACAGGUGUUAUAAAUUCUUCGUGAUUGUAAGUUAUAUGUAAAGUUCUCUAAAUGUGAGUUUUGGUUAAAAUAUAUGGCAUUUUGGGUCAUAUUAUAUCUGAUGAAGGGAUAAUGGUUGAUACUCAAAGUAUAGAAUCCGUGAAGAACUUCCCAAGACCUAUAACGCCUACGGAGGUUCAUAGUUUCCUUGGGUUAGCAGGUUAUUAUAGAAGGUUCGUUGAAGGUUUUUCUUCAAUUUCUGCACCUUUAACAAAGCUAAAACACAAAACUUCCAAGUUUCAAUGGAAUGAGGCAUGUGAAAGGAGUUUCCAAGAUAUGAAGAAUAAGUUGACUUCUACACCCGUUUUGGUAUUUCCAGAAGGCACUGAACGGUAUGCAGUAUUUUGUGAUGCUUCAAGAAUUGGUUUAGGAUGUGUGUUGAUGCAUCAUGGUAAAGUGAUAGCAUAUGUCUCAAGACAAUUGUGGCCACAUGAGAAAAAUCAUCCAACACAUGAUCUGGAGCUAGCAACGGUUAUAUUUUCCUUAAAGAUAUGGUGUCACUACUUGUAUGGGAUUUAUGUUGACAUAUAUACUGACCACAAGAGUUUGUAAUAUAUCUUUAAUCAGAAGGACCUAAAUUUGAGCCAGCAAAGAACGCUUGAGCUGUUAAAAGACUAUGACAUUGAUAUCUUGUAUUAUUCAGUGAAAACAAAUAUGGUAGCAGAUGUGUUAAGUCGAAAGACUAUGGCACCGUCUAUAGAAAGACAAGGGAUGACUAAAGAUAUGUACCAACUAGCCAAUUUAGGGGUUCGCCUUCUUAAAACUCUAGAUGAAGGGCUUAUUAUGCAUAAUGCGGCAGAAUCUUUAUUAGUAGCUGAAGUAAAAGAGAAACAAUAUGAAGAUCCCAUACUAUUCCAACUUAAGGAGAAUGUACAAUGUGGUAUGACAAAGUCAUUUAAGCUAACGCAAGAGUGAGUUACUUCAGUGCCAAAAUAGAUUAUGUGUACCUAAUGUAGAUGGGCUAAGAAAGAGGAUUAUGACAGAGACAUAUCAUUCAAGGUAUUUCAUCCACCCAGGGUCAACUAAAAUGUAUCAUGAUUUGAAAGGAUGUAUUGGUGGGGUGACAUGAAGAAGAACAUUGCAGAAUUUGUAGCCGAAUGUCCAAAUUGUCCAAGAGUUAAAGUAGAGCACCAAAAUCCUAAGGGUUAUAUGCAAUGUAUAGAUAUUCCGAUCUAGAAGAGGGACAUAAUCAACAUGGAUUUUAUUAUUGGUUUGCCUCGUACAUCUCAAAAGUUUGAUUCCAUAUGGGUGAUAGUUGAUAGGCUUACCAUAUCAACACACUUUCUAUCAGUUAGGACUACUUAUACAGUUGAAGAUUAUGCCAAAUUGUAUAUCAAAGAGAUAGUUUAAUUACACGGAGUAUCAAUCUCUAUUAUAUUAGAUAGGGAAGCUCAAUUUACUAUAAAUUUUUGGAAGUUUUUUAGAGAAAUUUGGGAACACAAGUUAAUUUAAGUACAGUUUUCCACCCUCAAAUAGAUGGACAAGCAGAACGUACCAUUCAAACACUUAAAGAUAUACUACAAGAUUAUGUAUUGGACUUUAAAGGUAGUUGGGAUGAUCAUUUACCUAUCAUCAAGUUUGCCUACAACAAUAGCUAUCAUUCAAGUAGUAAAAUGGCACCAUAUGAGGCUUUGUAUGGGAGAAAGUGUAGAUCACCAAUUAGAUGGUUUGAAGUGGGUGAAACUGCCUUGUUCUGGCUAGAUCUUGCUCAUCAAGCUAUGGAAAAGGUUAAAGUGAUCCAACAACAGUUAGAGAUAGCCCAAAUUCAACAUAAGUCUUAUGCAGAUGUUAGAAGAAGGGGGCUAGAGUUUGCUAUAGUUGAUUGGGUAUUCUUAAAGGUGUCACCAAUCAAGGGGGUUAUAAGAUUUGGUAAGAAUGGAAAACUAAGUCCACGUUAUAUAGGCCUAUAUAAGAUUACUCGGAGGUUUGGCCAAGUUGCUUAUGAAUUAGAGCUACCCAAAACUCUCAAUAGUUCAUCGAAUAUUUCAUAUCUCAAUGCUUCAAAAGUGCAUCGGAGAUCCAUCUCAUAUUACUCCCACUGAAGAUGUACAAGUUACGGAAGAUCUUACCUAUGAAGAAAUACCUAUUGCUAUUCUAGAUCAACAAGUUAAGAAGUUGAGGAAUAAGGAAAUAGCUUCUGUAAAAGUGCUUUGGAGAAACUAACAAGUAGAGGAGAUAACAUGGGAAGCUGAAGAAGUGAUGAAAUCUAAGUACCCCCAUUUGUUCAAUACGAAGAAAAAGUCCAAGAUGCUGAAUUGGAGCAAUAACAAGUAAGUAUAUAUAUAAGUACUAUGUGAUAAUAGGUAUAUUUAACUUAGGCUUGAAAUUAUUUUGGUUGGAUAGUUAUGCUAACAUUCGAGGACGAAUGUUUCUAAGGAGGAGAGGAUGUGACACCCCAUACAUUGCAUGUACUUUUUCUAUUUAUAUGUAACUUGGUAUAGCCUUGUGGUAGGUAAUGGAUGGAUUUGUUAUAUGAAUAUUAAUAGUUUAGAUGAAAUUCUAGAUGUUGACCGUACCUUUUUAUGUGAUGCGAUCAAGUUAACAUCGAUACAACUAUUUAACUUGGAAUUGUAAGUCAGUAUUUGAAUCUAAAGUUUAAAGUGACCAGGUGUGUAUAAGUUGUAAGUUAGAUUAAGGUGAUUAGGAGCUGGAAAGGGAAUAAAAUAUUAAGGUGCUUACUUUAAUUAAUUAAGCUAGUAGGUGAGUCAACUACUUGGGUUACAUGAGCCAAGUUAAUGGACCAAGUCCAUGAAUUAGAUUUGGGCCUUUAUUAGUAACUUAUUUGGGGACUAAAUUACGUAAAAGAAGAAGGAAAAUGGAGAAAAGGCCCAAUAAGUAGGUGCAUCAUCUACUUUGACAUUUGAGCUGUUUGAACUCCUUAAGUAGGUGCAUCACCUACUUGGACCAAUUUGAUUAAAUUUGUGGUCCAAAAUCAGCUAAGUGGAUGGCCAAAAUUAGGGACUUUAUAAGGCCACAUUUCUGGCCAUUUUCCCUCAUUCUUAAGUCACAAAAAAGGGUUACCUCACAAAUUCUCUCUACUUCCUUAUAAAUAACAAGGCUCAACCUUAUUUUCCUUUCUAGGGUUCUUGAAGAAGCCCCAACCUUUACAGGCCAAGGUAAGUAAAAACACUUAUGAUUUAUCUUAAUUAUCUCAAAAAAUAUUAGGAAAACAUGAUUUAAAUGAUUAAUUAUUGAUUCAUGGUAGACUAUGGAACAAGCUACUUGUUCACUUUUUCUUUGUUAUUAAGAGAUUUCCUUUCUUUUUUAGUUUAAAGUGUGAAGGAAAGUGAAAGUUGAAGUUCUUGAGGAGUUCAAAUUAAAAGAAUAAGUUGCAGAAUUAAGGUAAGGUGACUUUCCAUUUUGUUUUCCUUAUGUAUGAAUUUAAGAAAGAAUUAUGGAUGUGUUGUUAUUGAGAACUCAAGGGAUGAUGAGUUCAAUAAUUGAUUGCUAUAAUAAAAGGGAUUUAGGACUAUUUAGUGGAUUGUUUUGUAUGUAUAUGUUAUGGGUUGCCAGGUUGAUGUUGGAGAAAGGUGUGACUAGUCUGAAUUGAAAUAUAAAAGAAAGGUGUGGCGGUACACCACCGAACUAAUUAUUGCAUGUGUUUACUGCCCAAUCUAUUUUGGAGGGUGUAAUGAAGCUGAGGCGGUUUCGGAGAAUAUUAUAAGAACAUAUAUGGUAUGCGGGCGUAAUUGGAGGAUAAAAGGGUUAAAAUAACACCCUUGAUUGAUAGAUUAAGUGCUUAUUGCCUGGUUAAUAUUUUAGUAAAGUUAAGUUGCCCAAAUGUGUUGAUUGGUUGUUAAUACUAGUUUACCAUAUAUUCUAUUGUAGAUAAGUAAUUUAAAAGGCGGGAAGUCAAGUUGGGUUAGUUUCAGAGUUAUAUGACCAGGUAUGUAAGGCAUACUCUAUUUUGCACUCUUUGGCAUGAAAUCAGACAUUUGUUCUAUCAAGUAAGCUUCCAAGGUUAUCCGAUGACAAGUGAUACAUAAUAGCAUCACAUUACAUUCAAUGUAGCCAAUUACCUUAUUCCCACUCUCUAAUGUGUUAAAACACCUCAAUACAUGCUUAUUAUUUAACCUGUACAUUUAUUUUCACUAGAAAAUUUUAGAAGUUCUCCGUUUACUCAAAUAAGAGCCAUGUGUAUGUUCAGCUCCUAAACACUUCAUUUGUGUGCCAAUAACUCCCUAGCUCAUUGUUGUUACAUUAAGUUCCCAUUUAUAUGUCUCUGAUUGUCAGAUUAUUGUUUCAAGGUACCAUAAUGUUAUGACCACCAAAGUAACAAUCUCAAAGGCUAAAUAAACUAAGUAACGUAAAUCUGUAAAAUGAGCGGCAGCUCAGGGGUAUAAGCCUAGCAUGGGACGAUCUAGAUACCUUUAUAUGUGGGUGGUAGCUUAGGGGUAUAAGCCUAGCAUGGGCCGAUCCCAAUGUUCUUAUGUGGGUAGCAGCUUAGGGGCGUAAACCUAGCAUGGGCCGAUCCCAAUAUAUCUAUUUACCACUGAUCAGCUGUUCAUUUGCAUUAUGUGGCUUACAAAGAUUAUGAAGUAAGAAAGGUUAAAAAUAGAGAAAAGAAUGUACUGUACGUCAUCCUACAUAUAUAUAUUAAGGUGGUCUACUAGUACUACUUAUACACUUGUAUCUAAUUUUUAUUGAGCUCUUGUAUCAUAUGUUGUUACCUUCAGCCUUACAUAUUCAGUACAUAUCUUUGUACUGACGUCCCUCACGGGGGACCUGUAUUUCAUGCUACUGGAAUAGGUGCUUCAGCUAAUACACUUUGCUAGUAUGAACCCAGGCUAUUUAGUGACUAUCGGUAAGCUCCAGGUUAAUUUAGGGCUUUUCGAGUCUGUUCCAUAUAUUUUGGUAUUGUGCAAUAGUCAAGAGUAGGGUGGGGGUUUGUCCCGACCCUAACUAAGUCUAUGUAUAUUUUCGAGGCUUUUUAGACUAAUGUAAAGUUAAACAUGGUAGUGUCUUGUCUUUUAGAUGUGGUGGCCCCAACAGCCAAGUGUAAUAUAUAUAAGUUUGUGUUUGCCUACGUAGUUAUUCUCAUCGAUGCAUAAUAUCAUGUUUGUCAGAACCUUUGGAUGUCAGAGUAACAUGCAUGAGAAGUACAAGGUUAUGAAUUGGUUCUCUCGGGCCUUUACGGCUAUGGGUGCCUGUCCACACCAAUAGGAUUUGAGGCAUGACAAAUCGAGUUCCCAAGAAACCGCGUUUCUAAACAAAGGUAUUAACACAAUCUAAUCCAAGCUUGUAAUUCACUCAUAAGAUUAUUUUUUUAAUAUCAUCAAAGUUACAAUUGAAAUGACUAAGGCAUAUAUUUAUAAUGUCUGCCUUUGCUUAUACUAGCCUAUUAGAAAAAUAAUCCAAAAGUUGCUAUUUUGUAAAUAACCCACAUGGGCUCUUCAAAUCAUGCUCCACACACGGCCUUAUGGGCUUAGGAGCCUAAAAGGGGUCCACCGAAUACACUCUUGAGAUCUUGGCUUGAUCGUGGAUUGAAUAUUUUUUUAUUGGCCUCGAAAGAUGUAGUCUAAUGCUUUAAGGCCGAUCCAGAUCGUAUCACAGUCUUGCCUUUUUUAUGUUUAUAUCUUGCUUUAUUUGAAAGGAUGCAAGCCAAAUUCAAACUUCCAUUUCUUAUUUGUUUGAAAAAACUACUUGUUACUACUUCUAUAUUUGUACUUUCUAUCGAGUUUUUGGCCAUACACAAACACACAUAGUAUACGUGAGGGUUGUCUUGCACUCCUCUAAAUCCUCUUUGGAUUCCUUAGUUUCAUCGUUGGUGCAAUUAGGUUAGUGCUCCUUCUAGCAAUUAUUCAGUCAUAUAUAUGCGAUAUUAAAAGUUUGAAGGGCCCUAAAAAUAUUAUUUGAUAUUUUUUCCCUUUAUAAUCUUCGUUUUAGACAGAAUCGUCUUUUCACCAUUUUCGCUUUAAACAAAAUCUUCUUUUCACCAGUUUCCUACUAUUUAAGAGUUGAGAACAUUAAUUAAAUAUUUAUAGUAAAACGUUUCCUUAUUAGGAUUAAUCAGAAUUAUUGGCAACUAAUAUAUAUUUUUCAUUAAUUUCAGAAUUCUAAAUCAAAUAAAUUUAGAUUUUAAGAAUAUCUGAAAAAUCUAGAAAUAAAUAUGAAUGCGUUAGAAUAAAAAAAAUAUAAGAAGUACUAAAUUUUAAAAAGAUUUAAGUAAUAAAAUA